rnacentral:rRNA from 1 species
GACGAACGCUGGCGGCGUGCUUAACACAUGCAAGUCGAACGGUGAAGCGCCUUCCUUUUUGGUGGGUGUGGAUGAGUGGCGAACGGGUGAGUAACACGUGAGUAACCUGCCCCCUUCUUCUGGAUAACCGCAUGAAAGUGUGGCUAAUACGGGAUAUUCUGGGUCUGUCGCAUGAUGGGUCUGGGAAAGAUAUUGUUUCGGUGGGGGAUGGGCUCGCGGCCUAUCAGCUUGUUGGUGGGGUGAUGGCCUACCAAGGCGGUGACGGGUAGCCGGCCUGAGAGGGUGGGCGGUCACACUGGGACUGAGACACGGCCCAGACUGCUACGAGAGGCAGCAGUGGGGAAUAUUGCACGAUGGGCGCAAGCCUGAUGCAGCGACGCCGCGUGAGGGAUGGAGGCCUUCGGGUUGUGAACCUCUUUCGCUAGUGAAGCAGGCCUGCCUCGUUUGUGGGUGGGUUGACGGUAGCUGGAUAAGAAGCGCCGGCUAACUACGUG